GACGAACGCUGGCGUCGUGCUUAACACAUGCAAGUCGAACGGAAAGGCCCUGCUUUUGUGGGGUGCUCGAGUGGCGAACGGGUGAGUAACACGUGAGUAACCUGCCCUUGACUUUGGGAUAACUUCAGGAAACUGGGGCUAAUACCGGAUAGGAGCUCCUGCUGCAUGGUGGGGGUUGGAAAGUUUUGGCGGUUGGGGAUGGACUCGCGGCUUAUCAGCUUGUUGGUGGGGUAGUGGCUUACCAAGGCUUUGACGGGUAGCCGGCCUGAGAGGGUGACCGGCCACAUUGGGACUGAGAUACGGCCCAGACUCCUACGGGAGGCAGCAGUGGGGAAUAUUGCACAAUGGGCGGAAGCCUGAUGCAGCAACGCCGCGUGCGGGAUGACGGCCUUCGGGUUGUAAACCGCUUUCGCCUGUGACGAAGCGUGAGUGACGGUAAUGGGUAAAGAAGCACCGGCUAACUACGUG
rnacentral:rRNA from 1 species